AGUGAACGCUGGCGGUAGGCCUAACACAUGCAAGUCGAACGGCAGCACAGUAAGAGCUUGCUCUUACGGGUGGCGAGUGGCGGACGGGUGAGGAAUACAUCGGAAUCUACUUUUUCGUGGGGGUUAACGUAGGGAAACUUACGCUAAUACCGCAUACGACCUAUGUGUGAAAGCAGGGGAUCUUCGGACCUUGCUCGAUUGAAUGAGCCGAUGUGUGAUUGGCUAGUUUGCGGGGUAAAGGCCCACCAAGGCGACGAUCCGUAGCUGGUCUGAGAGGAUGAUCGGGCACACUGGAACAGAGACACGGUGCAGACUCCUACAGGAGGACGCAGUGGAGAAUAUUGGAGGAUGGGCGAAUGCCUGAUCCCGCCAUACCGCGUGGGUGAAGAAGGCCUUCGGGUGUUAGAGCCCUGAUGUUGGGAAGGAAGAGCAGCAGGUUAAUACCGCGCUGUUCUGACGGUACCAAAAAAAGAAGCACCGGCUAACUUCGUG
rnacentral:rRNA from 1 species